UGGUCAAUUGGCAAAUAGAGAAGAAAUGUCACCAAAAAAACACGAAAAGUCACCAAAGCUUAGAGGCAAUGAGUGCGAGAAAUAGAGAUUUAGAGGGAAGGGAGAGCUCCUCGCCAAAACCCUAAGCUCGAUGUCGCCGUUAUCACCGCCGUCGCCACCUUAGGUCAUCUCCUUUUUGCUGUUGCCAUAAAGCUUCCGGGAUCAAGCGAAGGCACCUCCUCUGCCAAUGCAUUCCAAAUCAGGUAGCAAUUUCCAAGCCUUUUCUGUCAACACAUUUCCUCCGAGAACGACGUUGUCGCUGCAUUCGCUUCCUCUCUGCGAACAAUUGUUGCUGCUCUUCUGUUUCUCUUUGGUGGCCAAACUCGUUGCUCAGCUUGCUCUCCGUCGCCGCCAUUUGAACUUUGAAGUAGGUUUUGUUACUUUCCAUGUUGCCACAGCUUCAAUAUAGUGAAAUGCCUUCUUUUUUCUUUAACCAUGAGGAAGAUCCUGAUUUUCUUCAAAUGCUAAGGGAUCAGUUUUCUAACAUUGAAAAAAGCUGAUUGGGUCCUUUGCAAUAGCUUCUACGAGCUGGAAAAACAGAAUGAUCUUGUCCAUGGAUGGGGAAUGGAUAUGAAACUAGGAUAUUGUGCACAGCACUGAAAUUCAACCUAAAUCAAUUCAUUCGCUUACCCGGCCAAUUCCCAGCACAUCCAAUGUGAUAAAAGGUAAGUUACCAAGACCCAGCUAAAUUCUCUGUAUUUCUGAUAUUUCAUAUCUUGGAUUGUUAUUAAUUCUCGGGGUUUUUUAGAACACUUACAUAAAAAAUUGUUCUCUUUUUGAAGCUAAUCAAUUUAUUAGUAGAAGAUUAUGAACUGCAUUUUCAAUUUUCAUAUUUAAAUUUGAGGCUAAAACCUAUUUAAUCAAACAUAAGUGCAUAUAACAGAAAAAACAAUGUCAUAAUUUCAUGACAUGUUAUACAUUUUUCUCGCUCUCUCUGUUCUGUUUCAAUAAUCGAAUUGGGAAGCAUACUCCACUUCGUUGAGGAUAAGACCAUUCUCAUCACUGGAGUCACUGGCUUCCUUGCCAAAAGUACAUAUAUUAUUCUCCCUUUCAAUGUAUAAUUCAUUCAUAUUACUAAAUGUAUUUAUGUGUUUGGUUUUGUAACAUAAAAAUAGUUAAGGUAGAGAAGAUACCGGUGGAAAAGAUACAAAUUUUGCAAAACGAGGUACUAUUAAUACUUACUUAGUCUGUUACACUUGCUUGCUUUUCCAAGUAAUACUAUUAAUUGUUGCAGAUAUCAUAGGCAAGGACUUGUUUAGAUUGCUAAAGGAAAACUUAGGUCCAAACUUCAAUUCCUUUAUAGCACAAAAAUUGACACUCGUCCAAGGGAUAUUUCUCGCCAAGAUUUG